rnacentral:rRNA from 1 species
GACGAACGCUGGCGGCGUGCUUAACACAUGCAAGUCGUACGGUAAGGCCCUUUCGGGGGUACACGAGUGGCGAACGGGUGAGUAACACGUGAGUAACCUGCCCACAACUUUGGGAUAACGCUAGGAAACUGGUGCUAAUACUGGAUAUGUGCUCCUGCUGCAUGGUGGGGGUUGGAAAGCUCCGGCGGUUGUGGAUGGACUCGCGGCCUAUCAGCUUGUUGGUGGGGUAGUGGCCUACCAAGGCGGCGACGGGUAGCCGGCCUGAGAGGGUGACCGGCCACAUUGGGACUGAGAUACGGCCCAGACUCCUACGGGAGGCAGCAGUGGGGAAUAUUGCACAAGGGGCGCAAGCCUGAUGCAGCAACGCCGCGGGCGGGAUGACGGCCUUCGGGUUGGAAACCGCUUUCAGCAGGGACGAAGCUUUUUGUGACGGUACCUGCAGAAGAAGCACCGGCUAACUACGUG